AUUGAAUAGCAGAGUAUGGCAUGGGAGGUCAAGUUUCCAUCUUUGGAGAUAUUUAUAGCUUUGGAAUAUUGUUGCUAGAAAUAUUCACAGGAAGAAAACCUACAGAUGACAUGUUCAACGAUGGUCUAAGCAUUCGCCAGUUUGCUACCAUGGCAAUGCCUGACCAUGCCAUGGACAUAGUUGACCCUUCAUUGCUCAUUGAAUGUGGAGAUGUAGAUAGCAGCCGACUUGAAGCAAGAAGGUUGAAGGAAUGCUCAAUUGCAGUGAUUCAAAUUGGACUUUCAUGCUCUGCAAUAUCACCGUUGGAGCGGAUGCUUAUGGAUGUUGCUGUCAACAAAUUGAAGAAAAUUAGAGAAUCAUAUCUCAAUUUAAGAGGUAGAGGCUAGAAAUAUAAAUGUGAGUCUCGUUCCCGUAGACACUGUUGUGCAAGAAAAUUGUGAUUAUCCCCCUUUCGAUUUUAAUCCAACAGUGGAGGACUUAAGAUCAAAUGGUGGGUGACCACAAUUGUUUUCAACCACGGGGUCCAGGAUAACAUGAUUGAUAAAUGUGAGGUUAAGUUUGUUGUAUAAUUAACGUCGUCUCGUGUUUGUGUGCAAGAAAUCAUUUGAAUAAGGAUAUUAUAUGUAUCAAAUUUGUGUGACAUCAUGUAAGGUUGAACUCAGCAUUUCAUAUGGUAUAAUAAGGAAAGAAUGUUUCAUUUGUUUAUGGUUAAUUUUCAAUGAAGUCUAUGACUCUGUUAUCUUUAUUCCGAGUUCACUGAUGCAAUUCUCCCACCAUGUCAUUUGAAUGUCUCACAGGUAACACAAAAAUCUCUAUUGUUACUGGUAUCAAUUUGACCCUCAAUUAGUCAUGCGGUUACUAAUCCGCAUGCUAUAAUAUAGUUGGACGAAAAAAUGAUUUUAAUAUUCAUGAACCGAAAGUGUUAAUGACGAAUGCAUAAGUUAAAACAUGAAUGAAAUGGUAACAGUUGAAAAUUUUCUCCCCAUAAGUUAAAAGGUUUCCCUAUUAGAUGUUUGAGUCAAAAUCUUAAAGUAGCAUAUCAUUUCAAAGAUUUAUUGGUAACGUAGGAUCUGAUCGCAAAUAUUCUUCUACCCAUUGUAACGUUCAGAAGUUAAGAGUUCGGUACACUUGUAAUUAUAAAACAAAGAUUAAAAGAGAUUAUUGGCAAUAGCAAGGAUUAAAAGCAAGAAUGGGAUACCCAUUGCUACAAAAGGAAUGAACAUUUCAAUUGUUGAAUUGAAUCCAGUAAACAAAACACGGUCUCAAAAAAUACAUAAUCUUAUCUCAAACCAGGAUUACUGGAGAGCGCGCAUCAAAAUCUGACCAUUCUGGCAGGGGCCUUUUUUCUUAGCAAGUAAUGCAUAUAUUACCACAGUUUGAGAAGUACAGCGAACUGUCGCAAAUUUAGAGGAUUCUGGGAAAGACCUGCAACAUAGUUUCGAAUGAAUAAAAUAAAAAUCUAGUACAGUAAAAGUAUUUUACAAGUAUUUUACAAAUGAUAUAUAUACAUAUAUGUGUGGUCAUUCACAAUCCAUUCAGCAUACCUGAAAACUAUCUGGAGGGAAGACGAGUUGUAUUCACAACCAGACAAAAAUCGUUCUACAUCUUCUGGAGCUGCAGUUUGAGGGAUUCCUUGAGUAAAACCUGAUAAUAGAAAUCAAGUCCAUUUCAUGUGAUAGCAAAUUAGAUUACAUUCAAGUAUUGAUGGCAUAUACUUGACGUAGGGGAAAUAAUAACUCCAAAAUACAAAGAAUCGAUCUGCAUAUAUGGAGCCUGUUUCUCUUCGAUCAAUAGACUCAAUACAUACGCCAGCCUCAGUUACUGACUUUCUUGCGAAGGCUCAUGCAAACAUACUAAAGCAAAAAUUCACUAGGUUGCCACAUAAUAGUUCCAGCGAUUCUGUUUUCACGAAGAAGCAACUGUAUCCAGAUCAAAAAACCCUACUUAAACAAAAGAAUUUGAAUUCAUUAGGUUCAGCCUUGAAAGCCGAAUAUAUGGCACUCUGAGGAUGAAUAUGUUAUCAGUGUUUGAAGGCAUCAAUCCUGUCUUACUACUAAGUCCAUUCCACAAAGCAAGCAAUUUUGUUGCAUGAAGACCAACUCCGAACACGACCAACUUGAUCAAACAUUUCAUUAAAAACAAUAAUUAGCAUGCAAUAGAAAACCUUGACUUACAGUUUUUCCAUCAUAGGAAGUAAGAUUGUCCCACUGCGAUCGGUUAGCCUGUCAUUCACAAACCCAGAAUCAGCAUACCCUAGCUGCAUUAUCAAAAGCUUUCCAUGACUGGAACUGCACUACCCUAACAACCGAAAUGCAUACCCAAAUCAUCAACCAAACAAUUUUGUAGCAUCUACACAAAUUUAUCUAUUGCAUUGCAUAACAAAUUAUCAAUUUACUGGAAAAUAAACAAAAUAGAGAAUACGCAAUUUACAUCCCCAUCGACGUAAAGGCUUGAUUGUAAUCAACUUUAACAUCCUCCAGCCUCAAAUUACAGCCUUCCAGCAUAUUCACAACAUCGUUCUUCAGCGUAUUCCUCGAGUUUCCGAGCAGCUUCCCAUACACCAAACCCUAAAAUAUCAUAUAUACACAUUACCAGAUUCACCAAAGAAAUGAGAAAUGAGAAAUGUCCGUGGCAGUCGGCCGUCGGCAGGUCAGUUUACCUGCGGUUGGGGUUCGAAGAAAUGGAUCGAUCGGUGAGGCGUCGUGCAUCUGAUCGGACGGCGGGGUCUUGAGUUGGGUUCUCCGCUUUCGUUGAUAACCGUCUCCCCGGUUCGCAGAAGACCGAAGGGAAGGUGCAGUUCUGCGCCACGGCCAUACGGGCUGCGACGUUGGACAUGAUUGCAGCGCGAAGAAGACCGAGCUUCCAAAUUUUUGUUCUAUGGUGGUUGUCGUUUUGAAAAAGAGGAAUUUGAGAAGUGCCCGUAAUUGUAGCGAAAUUAUAUAUUUUGCCCCUGGUAAGCUUAUAGUGGGCUGUGGCUUUUAUUUCAUUAUAUUAGGCUUGGAGGAAAGCCCAGGUUUGAAAUGUCUUAAGCUCAGCCCAAAAGAAUGAAUAGCCUUCUAUGAUAAGGCCCAAGUGAAGCUAAACAAGUAUACAAUGUACGGAAAUUCUAUCAUGCGGACUCUAAUGGUGCACGUAAUAAAUAAAUAAUUUUUUUAUGUUUGUCGAAGUGACCAUAGGCAUCGAGAGUACUAUUUUUCUUUUUACUUAAGUGUUGCAGGAAAGAAUAAAUACAUUAUAAAACACUAAGUGCAAAAUUAAAUGUUCUUAACCAUUUGAAUUACAAGGCCGUUGCAACUCUAUAAUGUCGCGUUUACUAAUCCGUAAUCAAAUUGAGAGGAAUUGAAUUGAGGAGGAAUUGGAUUGAAGAGGAAUUGAAAUGAGGUGGAAUCAGAAUCAGAUUCCUGUUAAAAUUGUUUACUAAAACUGUUUGGAAUCGGAGUAGGAAUGAUGUUGAAUUCAUAUAAGUUGUUUACUAAUUCACUUCAAUCGGAAUGAAAAUUAGGUUGAUUACUAAAUUGCCCUUACAUAAAUAAAUUAUUUUCAUACUAAUUAAUUAAAUUAAAUUCUUAAUUAAAUUUAUAUAAUAAAAUUCAUCUAUAUAAAAAUAUAUAAAUAGGUUUUAUUUAUUUAUUAAAAGAUGGUAGAAAUGAUGUUGAGUCAAUAUAAAUUGUUUAAUAAUUCACUUUAAUCGAAAUGAAAACUAGGUUGAUUACUAAAUUGCCCUUACAUAAAUAAAUUAUUUUCAUACUAAUAAAUUAAAUUAAAUUCUUAAUUAAAUUCAUCUAUAUAAAAAUAUAUAAAUAGGUUUUAUUUAUUUAUUAAAAGAUGGCAUAAUGAGUGUCAAAUGAAGGGCAAUGUUGGGAUAAUAAGAAACAAGUGAGGGCAUAAUUGGUAAAAGAAAUCCAUUCCGGAUUCCUCAAGUGUCAAGGAAUUGAAAUACCUCCCUCAUGUAGGGAGUCCAAUUCCUCCAAAAUUAGGAGUUGGAUUCCUUAAUUCGUGUGGACCCCCCAUGUAUUUUGAUUCCCCAAGAUUACGUAAACAAAGGUGUAUCCCGUAAUCAGAAUCCAAUUCCGUAAAUUGAUUCCGAUUACGGGUACGUAAAACUUGAAUUGUUCGGGUUAAAGAGACAUAAAUACUUGAACUUAUAUGCUUCUGUUCUUCACAACUUCAAUCAAGAGCAAAUAUAUUUGCAAGUUCUGAUGGAAUUUCUCUUGGAAUCCAUACAAACAGCAAUAUAGAAUAAAACCACCAACAAAUUAUAUUCGAUUAUUUCUAGAUUUCUCUGUUUUUGUUCAAAUUCUCUCGAGAUUAGUGAUAUAUCAAACUGAAAUAAAGAUUGCGUCAAUAUUAUAUAAAUAUUGGACAAGACUUCUCACAACAUUUAAACCUAAUACUACUAAUUGGAAAUUUUAAUAGAAAAAUAUACAAUCACGUCCAAGUAUAAUACAAUUAUAAUGUAAUAUGACGCUUGUAAUGAGACUAAAUACCACUAAGGUUUCGUUUGGCACGUCAUAUAAGACCAUCGGAUAUACUAAGAAUACAAAACUGAUGUUUGGUAAAUUUUGUAUUAAAUAAGCACCAAAUCAUUUAAUCCAGCCGCACCAUUUUAAUACCCCUUAAUCCAGCCCCACCAUUUUAAUACCCCUCCCACUCGCUUAAUUAUCCACUCCAAAACCUUGGUACUAUUAGUCGGACAAGGCCAAAGAAAAAUCACGCCCAUUUUUCUCCAACCUAUCCUGCCAUCUGCUCUUGGGCAUCGCGACCUCUGAUCAACACCAAGCAGAUGCAAAAAAAGAUUAAGAUAGAUAUCAUAUUGAACGAUCCACAUCAAGUAGAUGCGAACAGAGUACCGAAGGUAGCAGAUCGAACCCAGGGCAUCGUGACCUCUGUUCCUGAGCAUGGCGACCUUCGUUUCUGUUCUGACAUCUAUGGUGGUGGUUCGAAUAUUUCGGCUUGUGGCUUAAUUGCUAAUUGAUUUUGUUGAUGUGAGGGAAUUAAAUUCAAAAUUGGGAAAGAUUUCAUGUGGGUGAGGUGUAAUGGCUGCUGGGAUUUCAAAGACGGUAUUUCUGAUGUGGAUUAAGGUCUCAAUGGAUUAGAGACCACAAUGGGAUACGAGGAAGCCAGCGGAUCACCAAUUUUCUCUUAACAAAAUAAAAGUUCGAAGUUCUCAAACGCUGGAAUUUAGUCAGUAUUAUCCUAUGAUUAAUUAUUCUAUCCUACUGAAAUCAUCAGUACAAUCCGAACUACCAAACAAGCUAACAAUCACUGGACUGGACAUGAUAAUUUAUCAGCCUAGUUCUGUGUUUGUACGGUGCUUGGAUUAAGAGUAAUGAGACUGGGGACUCAGCACCAACAAACUUCUUCGCUAGGAGGUCUUAGCGAGACCCUUAAUAACCGUGGGACUACUAUGCCCUCCCUCCACUUCCUUUGCUCUCUGCUAUCCAACAAAAUCACACCACCAAAACCACUCUCACUCUCUCCUCGUCCUGCUCCACUGCAACAGUGUCUCCCUAAGUGAGCAAAAUCAGAUCCAGCGACUGCGUUGUUUGCUCUCUGCCACGGGUUCAAAGCAGGAAGACGAGGACAUUCUUUAGAGCAGUUCCAUCGGGGAACUGAUAGGCCAGCAUCCAGCAAAAAAACCAGCCCGGCACCCAGGCUAUCCACUUCAGCGGCGCAUUUUGACUGGUACCCAGCCCAAGCCAGGCAAGAUACCGGCCUAAAAUCGACAGAGGUAGGAGACGGCUCAUCUGACGCCAUGCUAACGUCAUGGCUACCGAGGAGGAGCCCAUGCGAGGCAGCCGAGGAGGAGGGUCGGGUUUUGGCGGGUUCAGCCUCCGGAGCUUCUUCUCGUACCGGAUCUUUGUCUCGGCUAUGUUCUCUCUCCUCUUCAUUGCCACGCUCUCGUUAUCCUCACCACAAAUCCUUCAACUCCGCACCACGACUCUGUAUGUAUUGCCCCCUCUUCCCUAAAUCCAUUUUCUCCCAAUUAUUUAUUUAAUUAAUCAAGGUUUAGAUUGAAAUUUCGAAGCUUUAGCAAAACCCAGAUGUUAAUUUCACUGAUUAAUCACAACCCACGUUCUAAUUUUCACAUCUGAACAAAUCCUAGAUUGGAACAAAAAAAAGUAGGAAGAAGAAGAAGAAGACGGGAGUCAGAGAGAAGAAGAAGAAGGGAGUCAGAGAGAAGAAGUCAGAAAUUAAAAAAUUAAAUUGGGUUGCAGUGAGUUUCUGGCGAAGGGAUGGGAAGUUGCAGUGAGUUUUGGGGAGUUUUGGGGUUGGAGCAGUGAGUUUUGGGGUUGGGAUUCAACCACACCUAAGUCGGGUUUUUUGUGUGUGGAAGAGAUGGGAAGUUGCAGGAGAUGGAAGGGAAGAAGAAGUCAAAAAGUAAAAAUUAAAUUAUUAUUUUAUAAUAAAAAUAAUAAUAUUUUAAUAAAUUGACCAGCCUAUUUUUUUUUAGGGAUGGAGAUGCUUUGGUCUAUUACUGUUUAUUGGGGUCUAUUACUGUUCAUUUGAGUGGAUAAAUGCGCUGAGUGCUGGCGCAAAGUCUUUAUGGCAAAGGAACAGUGGGAAUCCUCCCCAGGCUUUGAUUUUGAAAAUCUAGACGAGUAUGAUCCCGAAUAUUAGGAUUAUUUUUGGUAAUCAGGGACCUCUUCCAGCGGCGACGUUUUCUCACAUCGGGUUGUGCCUGGUUCCCAAAUUCGAAGGGGAAGAGAAAAUGAAAAGUAAAGAACAGAAAUACCCAGAAGCCUCUGGAAAGGAGGAAUAUUCGGGAAAAUGAGGGCAAAAGAAAAUGAAAAUAAAAGGGAAAAGAAAGAAAAAAAAAAAGAAAAGGAAAGGUAGGGGAAGAGAUAAUGAUGAAAUGACAAAAUAAUAUUUAGAUUUAAAAAAUAAUUUAGUCCAUAACUUCGUCCAACACCGCAUCAAACUCUUUAUUAUUCUUAUACUAGUUAGACCAUGCCAAACCAAUACAGCUUAGUCGAUGAAGUUAAUCCAAUUCGAGAUAGUCCGGUGCAACAAACACAGAGUGGACUAUUGCUUUUCUUUCAUUAUAUCGAUCUUGAGGAAGCCCAGGCUGAAAAUGUUUUAAGCUCAACCCAAAAUAAUGAUUAGUCUUCUCUUCUGUGGGCAUGCCCAAGUGAAGCAAAACAAGUAUACAAUGUACUGAAAUUCUCUCAUGCGGACUCUCUUGGUGCACAUCAGGGUGUUAGUGUGAGUGCUUAGUCGGUCGGCCUAAUGGAGCAAAAUAAGUAUGCAAUGUACGAAAAUUCUCUUUGCGAGCUCUACUGGUUCACAUUAAUUGCGGGUGGCCAAUUCACUGCCCCCAAUGAAACAAAAUAAGUAUAUAACGUUAUUGAAAUUCUCUCCUGUAGACUAUAAUGGUGCACGUAAUAACUAAAUAGAUUUUGUAUGUUUGUCGGAGUAACAAUAGGCAUUAAGAGUACUAUUUUUCUUUUUACCCAAAUGUUGUGGGGAAGAAUAAAUACAUCAUAGAAUACUAAGUGCAAAAGUGAAUGUUCUUAACCAUUUGAAUUACAUGGCCUUGCAACUAUAUAAUAUUGGUUUAAUUAGAUUAAUAGUCCCCAUGUUUAUAGGGUAGUUAGAGUAUAUAACAGAACCCUUUAGAUUGUGACAUUUGUCAAUAUUAGAGUGGUUGGAUUACAAGAAUUUGUUAGUCCUAACUGUAAAGAUUAGGAUACAGUUGAGCUUGUUGUAAGAAGAUAAGACUAUAGAAGUCUGAAUUGAGUGUGUAAUUGACUAUUAAGAAAAUAUAUGAUAAAAGUGCUUUCUUCCUCUUUGAGUAUCUCCUUCUUCUUUUUCUUCUUCUUCUUUCUUCUUAGUUCUUCAUGUUUCUACACCAUGUUUAACAUGGCGUCACUCACCAUUAAAGCUUAGAUUGUAAGCUUCUUCGAUUCUAGUUUCUCAUGCUUCCGCUACAUUUCGACGUCUACUUCUCUGAGAUUCUGUGUUCUUUGUGAUUUUCUGGGUUCUUGAUUCUUGCUCGUCUUUAUGAUCUUUCCUCUUCAAAUUCUUACCCGCCAAGUGUUUGUUCAUUUUCCUCAAUGAAUUCUUUUCAACAUGGUCACUGCUAAUCAACUGCAAAUCUUGCAAUCCCCAAUCACUGGGUUGAUUUCGUCGGUGUCAACAUCGGUUUCUGUUAAGUUGGAUGAUACCAACUAUCUUCAAUGGCAUUUUCAGAUGAAGUUGAUGCUUGAAGGAUAUGGGAUCAUGGAUUUUGUUGAUGGUACAAAUCCGUGCCCUUCUUAGUUUUCAUCUUCUUGCUCCAGCGACUUUGAGGUUGUUUCUGAUAUGAUCUGUAAUUAGUGAUUAGCUUAAUCACUAUUAAAGGUUUUAAUCUUGGGAUUAUUAGGCUUAUUCCUGUUUUAGUGAAGUUUGUUAUGAUUAGCCAGCUAGCAUAAUGAAUUGUGACUUGUAUAAGAGCACUAGCUCUCACCAUUGUAAACAGAUCAGAAUUUACAAACAAAAUGUAUUGGACCUUUGCUCACUUCUACUUUGUCUUCUCCAUUUGCCAUUUCUAUUGUUACUUGCAGGUUGAAUAAGGUCCUGAGAUUUGUGAACCUAUCAGCUUAUACUGGGUUGGGUCCAACAAUUGAAUUUGAUGAUUAUAAGGUUUGGAAGAUGCAUGACAGGGCUUUGAUGCAACUCAUUACCGCAACCUUGUCUUCUAUGGCUAUCUCUUGUGUAAUUGGAAAUACAAGUGCAAGAGACUUAUGGGUGCGUCUCCAAGAGUUCUCUAUUGUUAGCAAGACUUCUAUUUUUCAACUUAAGUCUAAUCUUCAAACAAUCAAGAAAGGGUCUGAUUCUGUGAAUGUGUAUCUGCAACGCAUGAAAGUAGCAAGGGAUUACCUUGUUGCUGCUGGAAUCAAGUUUGAAGAUGAGGAUAUUGUAAUCUUAGCACUUAAUGGUCUUCCGGCUGAAUACAACACCUUCAGGUGCGUAAUUUGAGGAAGAGGGAAUGUAUUUGCACUUAAAGAGUUUCGUGCUCAGUUACUUGCAGAGGAAGCAACAAUUGAGAGCAAUUCUUGCAGUUCAUUUCCUACUGCAAUGAUGGUUAAAAAUCAAGAUUCUAACUUUGGGGCUUCAUCUUCUGCAUAUCAAGGGUCUAUCAAUUCUAGAUUUCAGAACUCAAAUGGCUUUCAUGGGAAUUCUGGACAAUCUCAAUUCUACAAUGAUGGAAUAAGUCAAAGUAUAAAGGUAAAGGCAAAACUGCAUAUAAUCAAGGGCAAAAGUAUUACAACAAUCAAGGCCAUAUGUAUUAUAAUUCCAAACCAAUUGUUCAUGACUAUGCUCUUGGAAUUCUUGGUAAUCCAUCUCAGAUUAAUAAUGGUGCUUCAUUGUCUAAUGUCACUUGUUAGUUAUAUAAUCAACAAGGUCAUAAUGCUGCUACUUGCAUAUAUAGAGAUGUUGAUUCUGAUUUUGAGAAAUGCCAAAUUUGUGACAGGAAUAAUCAUAUUGCAAAAACAUGCUUCUACAAAAAUAAAGCAAGAAACAAUCAGUCACAGUUGAUUACCAUGAAUGUUGUUUUUUCUUGGUUCUAUGCAGCCUCAGUAUAUGAAUCCUAUGCCUUCCAUGAUGAACAUGGUUCCUUCUCAUAUGUCUAAUAUGAUGAAUAUGGGGCAUAGAGAUUGAUCGUCGUGGAUAGGAAGAAAUUGUAACGAUGGCCAAGUUCAGUUCUAUUGCUGAAGCCAAAUAGCAUCGUAGGAAGUUGGGGCAUAGAGAUUGAUUGUCGUGGAUAGGAAGAAGUUGCAGCGAUGGCCAAGUUUAGUUCUAUUGCUGAAGCCAAACAGCAUCGUGCAAUUUGCAGGUUGGGUUUUCAAUAUUCUAUUGCUGAAGCCAAACAACAUUGUGCAAUUUACCGGUUGGGUUUUCAAUAAUGUUAGAAGAGUAUUUGAGUUAUGUGAAGGCGGACAAAUGUGACGCUCAAUGGGUGGCAAUCAUGGCAGUAUUCCAUGCACACGUCUUUCCCAACGGGCAUGUUUUUUAUGACGGCUUAUGAAACGUUAUGAUUGGAAACCCUAAGCCAUUGCAUGUGUGCCUAUCAUUGUAUCUAUUAAGAAACUCAAUAGUCUACUAAAUUCUUUUCUUCCCUCUUUUUCCCUUGUUUGCAACAACCAAAUUCUUUUCUUAACCAACAUUUAUCAUCAAUGGACUUUCUAUUACUAUAUUCCCGAAUCCCAAACCCCGCUGCAAGUGCAUAAUUGUUGUAAACCUAUACCCUUCAUUUAACAAAUCAAACUCCAUUCUCAAUUUCGGUCUCAACUUUUCAUCUACUCUUGGUACCACAAAUUCAACCCUUCUAGCACCUAAUUCAUCCCUGCAUCUACGUCCUCUCUGUCGACGACAAUUUCUUGUACUUCUACCUCACCCCCCCUAAUCGAAUUAUACUUCAAUGUCUACCUACAACAAAGUUACAUAAGCACAACACAACUUACCAUAAGCUAGAACAACGUUUACACCUAUAUAUCUAAAAUCCACUUUCACGAUUUCAACCAAAUCCACUGAUAGCCACUGACCAUUAUGUUUUCAAAUCCCAGGUUAAAAAAAAAAAAACCACACUUUAAUGGAAAUGCAUUAUAACAUAGGUUCUGCAAUUAUUCAAACACUCACCUUCAAAAUCUGGGUUUCUUCUGACCAAACCCUUUGUAUGGGCUCGCCAUGCACUUGUAUGGUCUGGAAAGGCUUACUUGUCUUACAGUUUAGCUGUUUUAUCCGUUUUGGUUUUAUUGCUUGUUGCUUUGUGAGUGAACCGACCGUGUCAACUCCAAUCCAAGCACAUCUUCAAUCCUUUAUAAAUCGAGCGCGCACACACCCUUCAACACUUCCAUCUUUCUGCCCUUCUUCCUAGGCAGAGAAAAUCCUAAUUUACCCCUCCCUAGCCGUCACAAACACACCCAGUGAACAAAAAAAAUUUAAAGUCAUGGGAUUACCAAGUCGCAACUGCAGCCCAACUUCGAUCUAUCGCAAAUCCAUUCCAAACUCCAACUCCCUAUGUCUGCCUCUCUUCCCCUCUUUUUCCCUCUUCAAUGCGCGCAACGGCCAACCUACUUGCCCCCUGUUUCCCUCCAUCAAACAAAAACAUGCUAACUGAAUAAAAAAUUUUGAAUUUUCUAAAUGCACCGGUCACAACGACCCAGUUCUACUCAUUAGCUCAUCCAUUUUCAGCCGUUAGAUCCUUGUCCACAUGGAUUGUCUGCAAGACACGCCCUUCAUUAAAUUGGGCUUGAGAAAAGCACAUGUUUGAAAUGUCUUAAGCUCGGUCCAAAAUAAUGAAUAGUCUUCUUGUGAGCAGGCCCAAGUGAAGCUAAACAAGUAUACAAUGUAUGGAAAUUCUUUCAUGCGAACUCUUUUGGUGCACAUCGGGGGGUGUUAGUGUGGGUGAUCGGCCGAUCGGCCUAAUGAACCAAAAUAAGUAUUUAUUGUACGGAAAUUCUCUUUGCGAACUCUACUGGUGCACAUCAAGUGGGGGUGGCCAAUUGACCACCCCCGAAUGAAGCAAAAUAAGUAUAUAACGUUAUUGAAAUUCUCUCAUGCGGACCCUAAUGGUGCACCUAAAAAAUAAAUAAGUUUUGUACAUUCGUCGCAAUAACCAUAGGCAUUGAGAGUACUAUUUUUCUUUUUACCCAAGUGUUGCAGGGAAGAAAACUACAUCAUAGGACACCAACUGUAAAAGUGAAUGUUCUUUUCUUCUUUUUUGGCUUUUGAACAAUAAAAAGGUGAAUGUUCUUAAUCAUUUAAAUUACAAGGCAGUUGCGACUAUAAAAUAAUGAGAGUCUUCAUUCAAAGGGAUCCCCAUUUUUUGUAUAUAAAGAUGAGAACUAGUUGGCGGGUCCAUACUAUAUCGAACUUCAACAGCCUAAUUGUUUAUUUUUCAAGUCUUCAUUCAUAGAUCAUCCUUGCAAAAAGGCAAUCUAAACUCGAAAACAUUUAGUCAUUUGAUUGUCUUGAUAAAAUUUCAAUAUUUCUUAUAACAUAGUGUUCGUCAAUUUCUUUAACCUCAAUUAGAUAACUCAAACAUUUCCGAUUUCGCUAAUAUUUUGCAAAAGAGUCUUGAUGUUUAACCUGCAAGAUAAAAAAAUUGGCAGGCUCUUUACCUCCUUCUAUAGGAAAUCUUUCCUAUUUUCCUAGAAUCAACCUAGUAAGCAACAAUUUUCAUGGUGAAAUUCCUGAAGAAAUUGGCCGUCUGCAAAGCCUACACGUUCUCAACUUGUCUCACAAUUCCUUCAACGGAAAAAUUCCAGCCAAUUUAUCCCAGUGCACACAAUUGUGUGAUACUGUGACGACAAUCCUUCUCUAGAAAACAACCAGCAACCCUAAAUUCACUAGGAAGAAAGAGAGAGUAAACUCACGUUUGAUUGAUAAUAAGCAUCAAUCCUUACACCAAUAAGAUGUAUUUAUACUUUCAAAACAUAAAACCAAACCCUAAUGUUCAAAUAGGAAAUAAAACAAACAAUUAACAAAGUUCUAAAAGUAUCCCUAUAACAUAAGCUCUGCUUUGAAAUAGUAAACGAAGGAUUUUAGUCAAACUUGUGUUGUUCUCUUCAAAAGGACAUAUUAUAGGCUCUAUUAUGAUACCAACGACUAGACUUGCAUUAUGCCAGCCUUGUUGUCAGUUUUGCGUCUUCCGAGCUACGCUUCGAUGUUUGAGUUUAACUUCCAAUGUAACUUAUCAUUUCAAAGCUUACUGGUAAUUAAUCCAGAUUUGAUCGCCAAUAAUCUUGUACACAUUUGAUUGUCGCUUUUCCAUGGCCUUUGCUAGUUUUUUGCGGAUUAUCAGCUAGAGACUAGAGUAUAUGAGAUAUGACAAUGCUCAAAUGUUUUGUAAAGCACUUUGGGAUGACUGAUGAGAUUAAACUAAUAAAGUAGGUAGUGCAUUGAGUGGUAGGCCCUGCAGGUAUAGAAAAUAAGUAUGAGUCCAAAUUACAAACAUCUUGAAUGUGAAAACUAAUAAAGUAGGUAGUGCAUUGAGUGGUAGGCCAUCGACAGAUGUGGAUUGAGAGGAUGUUUGGAAUUGUUUUUGGAAGACUAAUAACAUUUUAUGACAAUUACAAGCAUUUCUGAUUAAGUUUGGUAGAAAACUUAAAAAUGCAUCUGGCUCAUAGAAGUACUUUCUAAAGAGUUGGUGCUUAUUCAAUAAACACUUCCAAGUUAUUAUAAAAGCAAUUGAAUUUUAGUAAUAAACAAAUUUGAACAUGUUUCUAAUGAAAGUACUUUUAGUAGAAGUCUUUAUGAGUAGAAGUGUUUCCUACAAAAACAAUCCGACAAUGUGAAAAGAUGCUUACACGUAACACUGUAUUGUUGAUAACAAACACAACCGUGGCAUCACAACGGUAGCAUACUAAAAGGUGUAUUUGGAACUUGUAAGUCCUUCCCAUCAAAAGGGCCAGAAUUUGGUCUUCCAAGUCUUCGCUAGAUGGGAGCUCACUUUCGGUGGUCGUCACAUUUACUAGCUAGCUAUCUCAAAAUUCUUCAAGUUCUAUUUUUCCCUAUACUUCUCUUUUGGGUCAUUAGAACAAGGACAAAACUAAGGCCCAAUGAACACGUAAAUCUUAGUUUACUCUUCACCAAUUAGAAAACCAUUCGAACCCUUCAAACACGUAAAAUAUUAGUUAAGUCUUCAUCAUGCAAUCAGUCACUCGGUGAUUCCGUCCCGAGGUAGGGCCUGUAAUUGUGCCCAAUUUGACUGUGAGGACAAAGACCUUGGAGCUGCAGACUAAUUUGCUCUUCCAAUUCCUUGCUAGACACGGUGGGAGCUGUGGACUAUUUUCAGUCUCCUCGCAAUCACUGCCUAUAAUUCAGUUAAGAUUAUGUUCUAUGUGAUAAGAUAUAUCGUGUAUUUGUGUUUCGUAUGCAUUCAUGUAAACGAAACUUGAUUUCUAAUUUCACAGCCAAAAGAGAGAAAAAAAACAGAGUUUCUUAUUUGGAAUCUAUAUUUUGGUGAGGAUGGAGCAUGCACGUACUACUGGAGGCAGGCUGAGUUUGGUUAAACUCUUUCAUGGCAUCAUUCUUUUAUGCAUGAGCAUGCAUCUGGGAUCUGCGGCACUCUCCAGCACUAGUCUUGGAAAUGAAACUGAUCGCAUGGCACUACUCAACUUCAAGAAAAGCAUCACUCAAGAUCCCCUCCAUGUCAUGAGCUCAUGGAAUGAAUCCGUCCAUUUCUGCGGUUGGGUAGGCGUUGCGUGCAACCAUUACACUAAAAGAGUCCUCAUGUUGAACCUGCAAGAUCAGAAAUUGACAGGCUCUUUACCUCCUUCUAUAGGAAAUCUUUCCUAUCUUGCUAGAAUCAACCUAGGAAGCAACAGCUUUCGUGGUGAAAUUCCUGAAGAAAUUGGUCAUCUGCAAAGCCUGCACUUUCUCAACUUGUCUCACAAUUCCUUCAGUGGGAAAAUGCCAACCAAUUUAUCCCAGUGUACACAACUAAAGACGAUUGAGUUUCGUUACAAUGAGCUUAUUGGGUCAAUUCCAAACCAACUCAGUUCCUUGUUGAAAUUAAAUCAUAUGGGGUUCGAUCAUAACAAUCUCACCGGAAACAUUCCGAUUUGGAUAGGGAACUUUUCUUCUCUGCAUCACUUUGAUCUUAGCUUUAACAACUUGCAAGGAAGCAUACCCAAAGAGCUCGGGCGGCUAACAAGACUGCGAAGAUUCACACUUCAAGGAGGCAAUAUCUCUGGUAUAAUCCCUGCUUCAAUCUAUAAUAUUACUUCCAUAUCAAUGUUUGGUGUUGUUCAAAACCAACUGCAUGGAGAGCUACCGCCAAAUGUUGGCAUUACUCUUCCUAAUCUCCAAAUAUUUGCCGGUGGUGACAACAAAUUCACAGGAAAUAUUCCUGUAUCAUUGUCAAAUGCUUCUAGACUACAAGUUUUUUCCUUUCCUAAAAAUGGUCUUACUGGAACACUCCCUGCUGAAAAUUUUGGAUCCUUACAAAGCUUAGUUAAGCUAAACCUUGGUGAAAAUAGACUGGGAAGUGGGAAAGCUGGCGACCUUAACUUUCUCAAAUUCUUGGCUAAUUGUACAAGUCUUGAGUCGUUAAUUCUUGCGGAAAAUCAAUUUGGAGGAGAAUUGCCUGUGUCCAUUUCCAAUCUUUCUACCACAUUAAGAUCUUUUACUCUGGGGGUAAAUUUGAUACAUGGAAACAUCCCUUUGGGUAUUGGAAAUCUUGUAAACUUGACCACCAUCCAAAUGCAGUAUAACUAUUUCAGUGGUAGUCUCCCUGAAGAAAUUGGGAGGCUUAAGAAGUUGAAAGGAAUAUUUUUGGGCGGCAACAAUCUUUCUGGGCCAAUCCCGUCGUCCCUAGGUAACUUGACUUCAUUGUUAAAGCUCCAUCUAGAAUUCAAUAGAUUUGCGGGAAAUAUACCACCAAGUCUAGGAGAUUGCCAUAAUCUACUACAGCUCGACUUUGAUGGUAACAGUCUAACAGGCACCAUACCUAGAGAGAUUUUUGGGCUUUCAUCCCUUUCAAUUUUUUUGAGAAUGUCUGACAAUUAUUUGAUUGGUUCACUACCGUCUGAAGUUGGUCUUUUGGUAAAUCUAGUAGAGCUAGAUGUAUCAGGAAACAAUUUAUCAGCUGAAAUUCCCCCAACCCUUAGCAGUUGUAUUAUGCUGGUGAGUUUGUAUUUGGGAGGUAAUGAGUUUCAAGGAAUAAUUCCUCAAUCUCUUAAAAGUUUAAGAAGCCUGGAAGAGAUGGAUCUUUCGCGCAAUAACUUAUUCGGGCAGAUUCCUGAAUUUCUAAGCAAGUUUAGAUUUCUUAGGCAUCUCAACCUUUCAUAUAACAAUUUCGAGGGUAAAAUGCCUGAAGAAGGAAUUUUUUCAAAUGCAACUGGUCUCUCAAUUCUUGGAAAUCCUAAGCUCUGUGGUGGCAGCUCGAAAUUACAUUUACCUGCUUGCCCCAACAUAAAGCCUCAUUCAUCUCGAGGACUACUUGCCCGAAAAGUAGUCAUCCCAGUAGCUUGUGCACUUGCCUUCAUAAUUGCUAUGUCUUGCUCCAUUGUUGCUUGCUCAAUGCUUAAAAAGCGAAGAGGUAUACCUACAACUUCACGUUCUUAUAAGGAUUGGAAAUCAGGAGUCUCUUACUCAGAACUUUUUGAAUCAACUAACGGGUUCUCUAGGGAAAAUCUUAUUGGUUCAGGAAGUUUUGGUUCGGUGUACAAAGGAAUAGCCCCCGGUAAUGGAACUCUAGUUGCAGUAAAGGUAUUAAACCUUCAACAACAAGGAGCAUCCAAGAGUUUUAUGAAUGAAUGCAAAGCUUUGAGAAGAAUAACACACCGUAAUCUUCUCAAGGUCAUAACUUCAUGCUCAAGCAUUGACAAUCAGGGUCAAGAUUUCAAAAGUCUAGUUUUUGAGUACAUGGUGAAUGGAAGCCUAGAUAUGUGGUUGCAUCCGAGAGAUGAUGAGCAAUCUCAAAGCAAGAGAUUGAGCCUUAUCCAAAGACUCAAUAUUGCAAUUGAUGUUGCUUUAGCAUUGGAUUAUCUCCACCACCGUUGCGAAACUUCAAUUGUUCAUUGUGAUAUGAAGCCAAGUAAUGUUCUUCUUGACGAAGAUAUGGUAGCUCACGUUGGUGACUUUGGUUUAGCAAGGUUCCUCUUGGCAGAGUCUGAUGAUCCAUCUCAAAGUCAAACUAUGUCAACCGGGUUAAGGGGUUCGAUAGGUUACAUUCCUCCAGGUAUGAGUUUCUAUCACUUCCAAUGUUUUCUCUUCCUAAUAUUUUAUCACUAGGCCAAAUUAAGUCCUAAUGUAAGUAUUGAAUGGCAGAGUAUGGCAUGGGAGGUCAAGUUUCCAUCUUUGGAGAUAUUUAUAGCUUUGGAAUAUUGUUGCUAGAAAUAUUUACAGGAAGAAAACCUACAGAUGACAUGUUCAAUGAUGGUCUAAGCAUUCGCCAGUUCGCUACCAUGGCGAUGCCUGACCAUGCCAUUGACAUAGUUGACCCUUCAUUGCUCAUUGAAUGUGGAGAUGUAGAUGGCAGCCAACUUGAAGCAAGAAGGU
rnacentral:lncRNA from 1 species